rnacentral:pre_miRNA from 1 species
GCCUGGAACACAUACUUCUUUAUAUACCCAUAUGAACUUAACAGCUAUGGAAUGUAAAGAAGUAUGUAUUUUUGGU